UACGUAGGGGGCAAGCGUUGUCCGGAAUCAUUGGGCGUAAAGCGCGUGUAGGCGGCUGGGUAAGUCCGCUCUGAAAGCCCGGGGCUCAACCCCGGGAGGCGGGUGGAUACUGCUCAGCUCGAGUCCGGAAGAGGAGUGUGGAAUUCCUGGUGUAGCGGUGAAAUGCGCAGAUAUCAGGAGGAACACCAAUGGCGAAGGCAGCUUGCUGGGCUACUCCUGACACUGAGGUACGAAAGCGUGGGGAGCGAACAGG
rnacentral:rRNA from 1 species